rnacentral:rRNA from 1 species
GAUGAACGCUGGCGGCGUGCCUAAUACAUGCAAGUCGAGCGAACGGACGAGAAGCUUGCUUCUCUGAUGUUAGCGGCGGACGGGUGAGUAACACGUGGAUAACCUACCUAUAAGACUGGGAUAACUUCGGGAAACCGGAGCUAAUACCGGAUGAUAUUUUGAACCGCAUGGUUCAAAAGUGAAAGACGGUCUUGCUGUCACUUAUAGAUGGAUCCGCGCUGCAUUAGCUAGUUGGUAAGGUAACGGCUUACCAAGGCAACGAUGCAUAGCCGACCUGAUAGGGUGAUCGGCCACACUGGAACUGUGACACGGUCCAGGCUCCUACGGGAGGCAGCAGUAGGGUAUCUUCCGCAAUGGGCGAAAGCCUGACGGAGCAACGCCGCGUGAGUGAUGAAGGUCUUCGGAUCGUAAAACUCUGUUAUUAGGGAAGAACAUAUGUGUAAGUAACUGUGCACAUCUUGACGGUACCUAAUCAGAAAGCCACGGCUAACUACGUG